CUCCUCCAGUGUCGCCAUGUGAGCCACCAGCAAGAGAGGGCAGCAGGGAAAGACAUCCUCUAUAAGAUAAGUCUCAUUAAAUAUAUAGAUUUAUGAUAAUUAUGAAUGAGCUAGCAGAUGAGAAAUCCUAGUCAUUGGCCAAGCAGCAUUUGAACCUAGUACAAGUUUCUGUGUAUUAAUUUGGGUCCUAACUCGGGUGGGCGGAUGACAUAAAGCACACAUGUGGAGGUGGGGUUCAGCGGCUUUUGACGGAAAGAUUUAUCGUAACACACCACCUUUUGUCUAGGCUCAGGGAGUAUCCUUCUAUGUGGAAUGGGUUCCUAAAGUCUAUCCCUAUGCUAGGUAUAAGUACUGAUCUUCUACAAAAGGCCCCAUAGAUUUCGAAAACUCCUCACUCACACCCACAUUCAUGGGUCUGAAUCAGUUCAUAUGCUGGUUUCCCAGGUAUCAGUCUGGGAACCAAGAGUCCCUGUUUUUCAGGUCCAGUUGUUUCUGUGGGUUUCAUCAACCUGGUCUUGGCCCCUUUGCUCAUGACUUCUCAUUCUCUGCAACUGGAUUCCAGUUCAGUUCAGUGUUUAGCUGUGGGUGACUUCUUCCACUCCCACCAGCUGCUGAGUGAAGGCUAUAGGAUGGCAUAUAAGACAGUCAUCAAUCUCAUUAUCAGGGGAGGGCAUUUAAGGUAGCCUCUCCUCUAUUGCUUAGAUUGUUAGUUGGUGUCAUAGUGGUAGAUCUACAUACAUUUCUCUAGCACGUGAUUUCUCUUUGAACCUAAAUUGGCUCCCUGUUUUAUGGUAUCUCUUAUCUUGUUCUCCUCUAUUCUUCCCAUAACUCUAACUUCCUGAUCCCUCAUGUGUGCCUCACCCCUCCUCUUCUCCCUUUCUCAUUCUCCUAGCUCCCUCUCCCCUCCCCUGAUGCUACAAAUUUGCACAGGAGAUCUUGUCCCUUUCCCCUACUCUGGGGGACCAUGAAUGUCUCACUUAGAGUCCUCCUUGUUUCCUAACUUCUCUGGUGGUGUGGAUUGUGGGCUACUAAUCCUCUGCUCUAUGUGUAAAAUCUAUGUAUGAGUGACUGCAUACCCUGUUUGUCUUUUUGUGACUGGGUUACCUAGCUCAGAAUGGUUUCUGUGGAGGACCUCUGGGAGUCUGCUUUUCUUCUCUUAUCUAAGGUUGAUCCCCAAUACCUUUGGGGAGCUACUGGUUGCCUCAGUGCCAGGUGCUAUUUCUUUGUUUUCCCUAUUCUUACAAGGCCUGUUUACAAAAUCUACAGAGUAUCUGCAUAUUGCCAGAGGCUUAAGAGCUUGGACCUUGAUCUGAGUUACUGCCCAGCAUUGGUGGCCCAUGCCUUUAAUCCCUGCACUCUGGAGGCAAAGAUGCCUUGCUGGAACCCUUAAGAAGUAACGAAGGGCAAUACAUAGUGAAGGUCCUCCCUGAGAUCCAGAAAGAAGGGAAUAUACACUGACAGAUCACCCAGAUCACCUGUGGAAUGGCCAGCAUCAAGCAGCUGCAGCUUAAACAAAAGAAUAACAUUUUGGCACCUGGACGUGGAAAGGCUCUGCCCUUAUACCUUCUCCCGAGGCCCGUUGGCGGGCGUGUGUUAGGUCAAGGGUACCCUUAACACACGGAUAGACAACCCAUGUUCCAUCUCACUGGUUUGCUGGGACUCUUCAUACAACACCAGACCCAAUUCGGUAAGGCUACCCCUUUCAGUCAGC
ensembl:lncRNA